GGACCUAGCUCAGUGGUGGAGUGCGUGCUUAGCAUGCACAAGGUCCUGGGUUCAAUCCCCAGUACAUCCA
rnacentral:tRNA from 1 species